rnacentral:tRNA from 1 species
GUUGUGGGCUCAGCGGUAGAGUGCUUGCCUAGAACGGGCGAGGCCCUGGGUUAGAUCCACAGCACCACA